AGCGGCGUUUGAAUUUAACUUUUGAGUGAAAAGGCUCAAAUUGUUUAGGGGGACGAUAAGACCCUAUAAAACUUAAUAUAAUUUAGGCUUAACUUGCGAUGUGGGUGAAAAGUAGUUUUGUCUGGUUUAUAUUUCGUUGGGGAGAUGAAGAUAUAAUGAGUAACUGUCUAUAAAAUUUUAUAGCAUUGACUAGAAUUUGAUCCUUCCUUGGGGAUUAGGAGAAUAAGUUACUUUAGGGAUAACAGCGU
rnacentral:rRNA from 1 species